UGUUUGUAUAGCUUAAUUGUAGAGUUUAAUAUUGAAGCUAUUAAGGUAAAUUUUUUUUUUCAAACAU
rnacentral:tRNA from 1 species